rnacentral:rRNA from 1 species
AUUGAACGCUGGCGGCAUGCCUUACACAUGCAAGUCGAACGGCAGCACGGGUGCUUGCACCUGGUGGCGAGUGGCGAACGGGUGAGUAAUACAUCGGAACAUGUCCUGUAGUGGGGGAUAGCCCGGCGAAAGCCGGAUUAAUACCGCAUACGAUCUACGGAUGACAGCGGGGGACCUUCGGGCCUCGCGCUAUAGGGUUGGCCGAUGGCUGAUUAGCUAGUUGGUGGGGUAAAGGCCUACCAAGGCGACGAUCAGUAGCUGGUCUGAGAGGACGACCAGCCACACUGGGACUGAGACACGGCCCAGACUCCUACGGGAGGCAGCAGUGGGGAAUGUUGGACAAUGGGCGAAAGCCUGAUCCAGCAAUGCCGCGUGUGUGAAGAAGGCCUUCGGGUUGUAAAGCACUUUUGUCCGGAAAGAAAUCCUUGGCCCUAAUACGGUCGGGGGAUGACGGUACCGGAAGAAUAAGCACCGGCUAACUACGUG